UUAUCUUCUCUUGCUCAAGGGACACGCCAACUGUGAACUCUUCCCUCCUCACCUCCUGGCAGGGAGAUGGGUAAUUCCAAAGCUCAUAUAUACCCCAAAGUAGCCUUUUUAGGUUUUGUCCCUCUCCCUUUGGGUCUUUUAUAACACAGCUGUCUACAUGAAGAGAAGAAAGUCAGCACCAAGCUGAUGGACUCUAAGUGAUCACAGAUACAAAGAGACAGUGGUUUCUGAGUAGGUGCAAUGUUAUGAAACAGGGUGAAAACUAUCAAGCACAGGUGGGUGUCUGCUACUGAGAGGGACUGCAAAGAGCCGAGACAGCCCAUCAGGUAAGCAGGCCUCGAUAUAGGACCAAGAAGCAAGUGCUGGGCACCUCCAGAGGAUCCCAUGUGGCUGCCCUCAAUCAUCCAGAAGAGCAGAAAGUAAGCUGAUACAAACCACGUUCUUCAUGGCCUGCGAUGGGGCACAUGAACCCAUGACUGCAUGAGUAAAUGUCGCCGCAGGGCUCUGUGUGGAGUGUGACUGGGGGGGUGUGGAUCCUUAGCAAAAUGAAUCAAGAGGCAAACUUUGCCUGUGAUGGCAACACCACUCAGGUCCCCCACUUCUCCUGUCUUUGGGGUUGACUUGCUCCAGUUGGAAAGCAGCUUCCCUGAAGCUGCUUUUCCUGCCCUUUCUCCCCCAGGAAGCUGACGGGAGGAGGAAAAUGAAGUAUCUGAUGCAGGGCUAAGGUUAGACAGAAAACAUAAGAACAAGGAGGAAAAGAAGCCCUCUGAGACUCUUGGGUGAGGACAUUGAGGGACAGAAUAUAUAUUUCUAGGGUCCCUAGUUGGCAUUCGGAACAUUUUUCCCCAUACACCAGUGUUUCUUAACCAGAGGUAAUUGUGUUCCACAGGAGACAUUUCGUAAUGCCUGGAGACAGUUUUGCUUGUUACAUCUGAGAAGGGGGUGCCACUGGCAUCCCUGAGUAGAGGCCAGGCAUGUUGCCGCGCAUCCUACAAUGCACAGGACAGCCCUUGCCACAAAUAAUUGUCUGUCCCAAAAUGUCAGUAGUGCCAAGGUUGAGAAACUAUAUCAUAGAACAAUGAUGUAUUUGGUAAUUUUGCUUAAUAACUCAACCAUAGUGGCUUAAAUAGGUUUUGAAGAUUUCCUGUAUUUAUUCAUUUAUUUAUUUUGACAGGGUUCCCCUCUGUCACCCAGGCUAGGAUGCAGUGGCACAACACAGCUCAUUGCAGCCUUGAACUUCCAGGCUCAAGUGAUCCUCCCACCUCAGCCUCCUGAGUAGCUGGGACUACAGGCCCCUACACCAGGACGCCUUAAGGGAAGGAAGUUUGCUUGCUUCAGAGUGUAGUUCUCCACUUUUAACCUGGGAUCAAACACGUGUGUUGUGUGUAUAAACCAGGAGACAGGAGAGAGAUGGUUUCUGGGCUGUCCUCUCUGACCUGAUGCAGCUGUUUAUGACUCACUAGAAGCAUUGCUCCAUGGCUACUUCUCUUCUUGUUCCAUUUGUUCUCUCUAAGUUUGGAAUUUCCCCAAUUGGCCUUUCACUCACGGGUGUGUCGGGAUGUAGUUUUCUGUUCACGCCUGUUAUCAGUCUCCUCUCAUUCAUUUCUAUCUUCUUUCCAGGAAUGUCUCGAAUUUCCUGGUCUUUUAAUGGUGGUUUCAUUUCAUGUUUUCCUAGAAUGCUGUAAAUGUAUUCUUUCUAAAAUAUAGCUUUUUAUUUUAAUAGAUUCAGGAUUGGAGGGAAGGUGAAAGCUUGCACUGUUUGUCAACUAGAUCUAAUAUCAUUCAUGUGUAUAUAUAUGUAUAUCUGUUUUAUAUUUUUAUUUUGUGUACUAUAGAAAAAUUAU
rnacentral:lncRNA from 10 species